rnacentral:lncRNA from 1 species
UGUGUUUUCACAUAGACGAUGCCAUUCCCCUUUAUUUCAUGUAUCUUAUUGUUAUUUCCUUCUAAGAAUACAACUGCUUUCAUUAAAUAAUUUCUCUACAGUUACUGUUAUGUUCUGUAUUUCAGUAUUUCUCUCCAUAUUACCUUUGUGUUUAUAGCUGAAAGUAUACACAUGGUAAAUUUAUUUUAAGUUUGUUCUUUUAUUGUACAGCAUUUUUUUCUGAAACAGAGUUUGUAUGCAGUAACCACCAGGAUCUCAAACUCAUCAAUCAAGGCACAAUUUCUCUCAAGAUGAUAAGGGACCAACAGAUGCAUACCACCACCUGCUGCAGAUGCAUGUAUUUCUGAAACAGAGUCUGUAUGUGCUAACCACCAGGAUCUGAAACUCAUCAAUCAAGCCCAAAUUUCUUCAGGAUCCAUAAGGGACCAACAGAUACUUACCACCACCUGCUGCAGAUGGUAUUGUAAAACAACCUCCCAUUUUCACUUACAACUUUUAUUUGCUUUGCCUGAUGAAAAUAAAUUAUCAUAUAC